UUGAAAACCUUUCACUUCUCACAUCUUAACCCUAACUAUUCAUCUCUCCUUCAUCUUACUAAGUUCUGGGAAGUGAUUCAGAAAAUCAUGGAUUUCAAUGUCAGAUCUUCAAUUCGUUUCCCGUGCAUUGCUCAUAAAUAAUUUUGCUUGCUUAAUUUUCUCUACUCACCGGCCUUCAAUGAUGUUUAAUUCCUUCUUCUCGUUGCCGAUUUAAUUGAGAUUAAAGAUGCAAAACUUAUAAAGGAGCUGGCAGAAACAGAUGCUGUGAAUUAUGGACUCAUAAAGCGAGUUUAUAAUUCAUCAGUUGAUAUUAGCAAGUUCUUAGAUCAAUAUGAGAUGUCCAAGCUUACGGAAGGGCCAUAUGUGAAAGGGGGUUCGUGAAUAUGGUGCGUGAAAAUAAUGAGUAUGCUGGAAGGGUUGUUAGCAAACCUAGCCAAAUCCGCCCAUCAGUAUGUUCGUGGAGCUGCCCAAGUCAGGGAAGGGUCAAGGUAAACUGCUAUGCCCAUUUAAGUGUUAAAACUGGCUUGGGGGCUGUAAUCAGAAAUGAUUAAGGGAUUAUUGUUGUUGCUGCAGUGAGGCAGGAGGGUUCUGGGUGGGAUGUAGGGUGUGUAAAAGUUGCUUCCUGUCAAUAUGGUCUGCUUGUGGCGAAGAGGUUGGGAUACUCUGAUGUUCAGCUUGAAAGUGAUGCCUUGAAUGUGGUGAAUGCUGUCCGAAACAAUGCCAAAGGAUUUUCCCUUGUGUUUCUCCUGUAUGAUGAUAUUUGUAGGCUUUCUUCCAGUUUUAGAUCGUUUUUAGUUUCUCAUGUAAAGCGGUCGGGUAAUACUCUAUCUCAUAAUGUCACUAGAUGGGAGACUAGAGGUUGUGACGAAUUUGUAUCUUUAGGUCCUUUUCCUCAAACUUUAUUGACUUGGUGGAAAUUGAUCUUCUUUAAUAUAUUUUUCCCACUACUUGCCCUAAAAAAAA